UCCCUAGAGCCUCGAGCUCUCUAAAGGGUUGUUCUAGACUAGAACGUUGAUAGGCAGGGUGUGUAAGCGCUGUGAGGCGUUGAGCUAACCUGUACUAAUUGCCCGUGAGGCUUAACCAUACAACACCCAAG
rnacentral:rRNA from 1 species